AACUUUUGACAACGGAUCUCUUGGCUCUCGCAUCGUUGAAGAACGCAGCGAAAUGCGAUACGUAAUGUGAAUUGCAGAAUUCAGUGAAUCAUCGAAUCUUUGAACGCACCUUGCACCCCUUGGUAUUCCGAGGGGUGCACCCGUUUGAGUGUCGUGAACACCCUCAACCUUUUUGGUUUAUCAACCGAGAAGGCUUGGACUUUGGAGGUUUUUGUUGCUGGCCUCGUUUGAAGCCAGCUCCUCCUAAAUGAAUUAGUGGGGUCCGCUGUGCCGAUCCUCGACGUGAUAAGUACGCUUCUACGUCUUGGGGUUUCGCACUGUUGCCCUGGAAUCCCGCUUCCAACCGUCUUUGAAUGAAGACAAUGUUCGAGUUGUGACUCGACCUUAUAAACCUUGACCUCAAAUCGGGUGAGACUACCCGCUGAACUUAAGCAUAUCAAUAAGCGGAGGCU
rnacentral:misc_RNA from 1 species